rnacentral:rRNA from 1 species
AGUGUAGGCGGCUACUUAAGUCGGAUGUGAAAGCCCCGGGCUCAACCUGGGAAUUGCAUUCGAUACUGGGUAGCUAGAAUUUAGUAGAGGUAAGUGGAAUUCCGGGUGUAGCGGUGAAAUGCGUAGAUAUCCGGAGGAACAUCAGUGGCGAAGGCGGCUUACUGGACUAAAAUUGACGCUGAGGCUCGAAAGCGUGGGGAGCAAACAGGAUUAGAUACCCUGGUAGUCC